UUGAACUCAUCUUCGUACGUGAUGUUGAGUGUUUCUUGUUUUCUCAAUCCCUAUUCUCUUGUGGCAUUUUCUCCACUUUGAUUAUUAUGUAUGAUAUUUCAUAUUGUUCGUUUUUUCAAAACCUAUAUUCAAUGACUUUGAAAAUGUAAUUUUCAUUUACAAAAUAAUGGUAAUGAAUUAUAAUAUUCCUGACCCCAUUUGAAAACGAUAUCCAUAGAUUUCUUUUCGAAAUUCAUUGAUCCGGAUGUAGAACUUAAUUAUUCAAAAUAUCACUGAGGCCAAUAAUAAAAAGAAAAACUAAGCCGAUAAUUUUAUAUACUUAUGUUCUCCGUAUGUUCUCAUGUUAUUUCAAUGUGAUCAGAAAUUUCUGAAAUAGCUUUAAGUACAUAAGUUCAUAUAUAUACGAUAAAAUUUGGAAAGAAAAGAUGAUAUCAGAACCUGAGCAAAUUUUACAUGCUAGGCAAUUUCAUGUGGUUUACAUCAGACAAGAGAAAGAUGACACUUCCAGGGCUUGUACCAGAUAUUUUAUCAUAUUUUUGUUUGCAAUGGCAUUCCUAUUUAUAGUGAAAUUAAUUAAUAAUUAUUUUUCUGUGUUUGCGGACUUCAGCGAAGUUUCUCUAAAGCAAUCAAAUACAUAAUUCGAUUUGUCCAAUUACUGUAACAUGUAAGUGUCCACUGUAUUCUUUCAAAAAUAUCAAUAACAAAAUAAUAUUUAUUUCAUAAGACAUAUGAAAUAUUUUCAUAGCAAUAAAUAUAUUUUUAUCCA